UCCUACGGGAGGCAGCAGUGGGGAAUUUUUCGCAAUGGGGGCAACCCUGACGAAGCAAUGCCGCGUGGAUGAAGAAGGCCUUCGGGUUGUAAAGUCCUUUCGUGGGGGACGAAAAGGCGGGUCCUAAUACGAUCUGCUGUUGACGUGAAUCCAAGAAGAAGCACCGGCUAACUCCGUGCCAGCAGCCGCGGUAAUACGGGGGGUGCAAGCGUUAAUCGGAAUCACUGGGCGUAAAGGGUGCGUAGGCGGUACGUUAGGUCUGUCGUGAAAUCCCCGGGCUCAACCUGGGAAUGGCGGUAGAAACCGGCGCACUAGAGUAUGGGAGAGGGUGGUGGAAUUCCAGGUGUAGCGGUGAAAUGCGUAGAGAUCUGGAGGAACAUCAGUGGCGAAGGCGGCCACCUGGCCCAAUACUGACGCUGAGGCACGAAAGCGUGGGGAGCAAACGGGAUUAGAUACCCUGGUAGUCCACGCCCUAAACGAUGAAUACUAGAUGUUUGGUACCUAGCGUACUGAGUGUCGUAGCUAACGCGAUAAGUAUUCCGC
rnacentral:rRNA from 1 species